AGCGGGGUAGUCCAAAGUAAGACCCCUGAUUUCGGCUCAGAGAAUCGUGGUUAAAGUCCAUGGCCCGCUU
rnacentral:tRNA from 1 species